rnacentral:rRNA from 1 species
UAAGGAAUAUUGGUCAAUGGACGCAAGUCUGAACCAGCCAUGCCGCGUGGAGGAUGAAGGUCCUCUGGAUUGUAAACUUCUUUUAUCUGGGACGAAACACUUCUUUUCUAAGAGGCCUGACGGUACCAGAUGAAUAAGCACCGGCUAACUCCGUGCCAGCAGCCGCGGUAAUACGGAGGGUGCAAGCGUUAUCCGGAUUCACUGGGUUUAAAGGGUGCGUAGGUGGGUAUGUAAGUCAGUGGUGAAAUCUCCGAGCUUAACUUGGAAACUGCCGUUGAUACUAUAGGUCUUGAAUUAUCUGGAGGUAAGCGGAAUAUGUCAUGUAGCGGUGAAAUGCUUAGAUAUGACAUAGAACACCAAUUGCGAAGGCAGCUUACUACAUAUAAAUUGACGCUGAGGCACGAAAGCGUGGGGAUCAAACA